ensembl:lncRNA
AGCCUGUAAGGUGACACUUGGCAGGGGCCAGUGGGGAGGGGCUCGGGGAGACCCCCAGGGCAGGGUGGCUGCAAAGCAGGUGACAUCCCCCCAUCAGACCUCAGAGAUGCUGGUGGGAUUGUGAGCCGAUGUUACCGGAGCAGUUGGUCCCCCGACGUCAUUGCUUGGGAAUGAAAACCACACACGCGUGUGGCGGAGUGGAUGGUGUCCCAACCCUGCAAAUCCACGUCUGCCCGGAAUAUGAGUGUGACCUACAGGAUCAGGGUGGCCCUAGACCCCGUGACAGGGUCCUUAAAAGACACCAAAGAGGAGAGACACGGACACAGAGGAGAAGCCACGUGGAGAUGGAGGCAGAGAUGGGAGGGACGUGGCCACCAGCCCAGAGAUGGACGCCCAGAGCCCCCAGAAGCCGGAAGAGGCGGGGAGGACCCUCCCCUGGAGACUCUGCAGGGAGCUCAGCCCUGGGACACACAGACCUCAGACGUGUGGUCCCCAGGACUCGGGGAGGAUGGAUGCCUGUCUGGGGCGUUAAGCCCCUCAUUUAUAGAACUGUCACAGCUGCCCUAGGAGACCCCUGCAGUCUGCAAUUCUGAGACUGGGCCUCUGGCCACUGGCCGGGUGGUUCUAGGGGUCGCAGUGCCUGGUGCUGGCUCCUGGGGUGGGACCUGUAUAGGGCAGUCCAUGCUCUUGGCGGGGAGAAAGACUCGCCUGGGGGUCCCAUCCAUCCCCAUCCCCACCAGGGGAGGCCACACAGGGGACAGCGUCCAAGCCAGUCCGCAGUGUUUGCACAGGGCAUCCAUCCUCCCCGAGUCCGCAGUGUUUGCACAGGGCAGAGACCCACCGUCUGCUGCUUUCAGAAUGCCGACCAGACACGCCCCCCGCCCGAGAAAGGACGUGCGCCCACGGGUGGCUGGAGAAGGGCUGGCUUCAAAGACUCGGAUCGCCCCAGGAUGGUGUGUGGUCCACCCGCUCUUCCCAACUGUUCCCAGAGCCAAGCCCCUAGAAAGUCAGGUCGCCAAGACAACAGUCCGGAGGCAGAAAAACCCUGACCCAGCAAGACAGUGGCGGCCACGUCCUGGGCGUGGGCUUCCAGCGUCUGACUAAAAAGCUGUGAAAAACCUCAAACCACCCUCACGGAACCGUCUUCUUGCUGAGCUGAGAACAAGCAUCACCAUUUGAAUUCGGAGGAAGCCGGUCUAAGCAAUAACACUGCCCCUCACCACCCCCACCCCCCAGCCCUCAACGGGUGUGACGUCCAUCCAGCCUUUGGGUCCCAGAGAGCUCAGGUCACAUUUCGUCACCAUCGUCACCAACAGUUCGUUGUCCAGCCCCUCUGGGCCACCGACAUCUCCCUGAUUUCUGCAUCCCAAGGACCCCCAGUUCCACUGAAGUUGCCCAGUAUCCAACAGCAUCUUCAGGGACCCGUCGGCCUUUCCGAGGGGUGCCUGUCGGAUCACUGAAAAUCCCAGGGCUGGAUUUCCUUCUGUUUCAGCAGGUUAAUAAUAUUGUUCUUGUUCAGUCGCUCAGUCGUGUCCGACUCUUUGCGACCCCAUGGACUGCAGCACACCAGGCUUCCCUGUCCUUCACCAUCUCCCGAACUCUGCUGAAACUCAUGUCCAUCGAGUCAGUGAUGCCAUCCAACCAUCUCCUCCUCUGUCAUCCAUCCCCUUCUCCUCCCGCCUUCAAUCUCCCAGCAUCAAGGUCUUUCCCAAAAAGUCAGCUCUUUGCGUCAGGUGGUUAGAGUAUGACAUCUCUUUUCUCGAACCUGUUUUAAAACACCCACACUGAAGGCAUGCGGUUUGCUGGAAAUCGUCAGACGAAGACAUUGAUUUAUUGUUUUUUCCCAGUGUCUGCUGUUUCUUUGGAAACCUGUGAUCCUGCCAUUUCACUGACAUUCCUCAAUGCUGUUAAAAAGCCUCAAGAGCAGGAAUGCGUGUAAAUGAAGGAACUGCAUUGGAGUCCCUGAGGGGGACGGAAUAUGUCCGAUGGAAUGACUGCUUAGGGUCUCGAUGCUAUGUUGACAACUGCUCUUUAAAUCUAGAACUUCUUCAAAAUAAACCAUCUUUUUUUUUUUUUCUAA